rnacentral:rRNA from 1 species
GGAUGCGAUCAUACCAGCACUAAAGCACCGGAUCCCAUCAAAACUCCGAAGUUAAGCGUGCUUGGGUGAGAGUAGUACUAGGAUGGGUGACCUCCUGGGAAGUCCUCGUGUUGCAUUCC